GCCCGCAGGCUGUGGGGAUGACAUGGAAGAAACUGAAAGCUGGAGAACCGCUGGGCAGAGAUGUAGAGGAUGUCUCUAGUGGUCUCCAAGUCAGCACUAGCCAGAGAUGACGGCUAUGGACGUCAGAUUGUCUCCAAGAGAAGUGAAUCUUCCUCCUGGAUUUUCUGGAAACUGGUCUGUAACAGAAUAUUUCCUGUUUGCCCGCCAGAUCCACUUUCUAUCCUUCUCCACUCUGCUCUCUGUCCAGGAAGGCUGAUCUCUAUGGACUACCUCAGUAGAUCCCAUUCAGGAGGCUGGGAAAAGUCAUCUAGCUGUGCGCUCAGGAGGAAGAGAAAAUGGUUUGGAAGAACAGCACUAGGAGCCUGCUGUGGUGCCUUCAACAAAUGGGAGUUUGUUUUUCUUCUGUUCAAGACGUCUCAAGAGAAAACUGAAGAAAAAAACCCGAACAAACCUGAAAGAAGACCAUAGAAAAGGAGUCACCCAAAAGAGUGAAAAAAUAUAUUUAGUAAAGGACUCAAAACUUUUAGAAGGCAGGGACUGCAUCUUUUUUUGGGGGGGGUGGGGGUGAAUAUGGUUUAGAGACCAGUGAAAUGUAAAGCUAACUUACUUUUUGGCUGAAAUUGAUUGAUUGUGCAAAUACUGAUUAUUACAAUGCCUGGAAAAAUUCG
rnacentral:lncRNA from 1 species